GAUGAACGCUGGCGGCGUGCCUAAUACAUGCAAGUCGAGCGAACGGACGAGACGCUUGCUUCUCUGAUGUUAGCGGCGGACGGGUGAGUAACACGUGGAUAACCUACCUAUAAGACUGGGAUAACUUCGGGAAACCGGCGCUAAUACCGGAUAAUAUUUUGCACCGCAUGGUUCAAAAGUGAAAGACGGUCUUGCUGGCACUUAUAGAUGGAUCCGCGCUGCAUUAGAUAGUUGGGAAGGUAACGGCCUACCAAGGCAACGAUGCAUAGCCGACGGGAGUGGGUGAUCGGCCACACGGGAAGUGAGACACGGUCCAGGCUCCUACGGGAGGCAGCAGUAGGGAAUCUGCCGCAGAGGGCGAAAGCCUGGCGGAGCAACGCCGCGUGAGUGAUGAAGGUCUUCGGAGCGUAAAGCUCUGUUAUUAGGGAAGAACAGAUGUGUAAGUAACUGUGCAGAUCUUGACGGUACCGAAUCAGAAAGCCACGGCUAACUACGUG
rnacentral:rRNA from 1 species